rfam:Pelosinus sp. TFO1, complete genome.
UGAGUUAAGCAGAAGCCAUCCGCUUCUCACCUUACAACGCAUAGGCAGUUAGUGAGGUUAUGACAGCAUAUUUGUUUUAUUAUGCUUUUGUUGCGGGUGGUAUUUAUACCAUCCGUUUUAUUUAUAUGUA